UUAUAUAAGGGUAAACUUGUCACUAGAGCAAAAUUAUAGCAUUCCCACUGUUUUCCUUCCAGUUUUGAGAAGAAAACUUUACCGCGGGCCCUUUCCCCCUUUUUUUUGCCAUACCAAACGAAAACGAAGGAAGGAUUUUUAUUUCACAUCUUUUGAUUUUGUCGUGUGUUACACUUCCAUUCUACCAUGUCCCUCUCUCUCUGCCAACUUGUUCAACAGUGACAAAAUUCAACUUCCAUGAUUGAAAAUUCAAAUUCCGUAACCUAAUUCCCUUUGAAUCGAACGCUGUAACGCACGCACGCGCUUCGAUUUGAUGUCUGGUUCUUCUUCCAUUGAUGAUGAGUUCUCCAAUGGUGAUGGUUACGAAGGAGGAGGCAGUGAUAGCGAUGACGAUGAGGAUAAGAAGAAGAACCACCGCACCACAAAAAUGGGUUGUGGUGGUUUUCGGAAGGAGGUGGUUCUGCAUCCAUUCACAAAAGCCAAGAACCAAAUCCGCAGAAUCAAGAGCAGAAAGCCUCUUCUUGCAUCUUCAUCAUCAAAAUCGUUAUCGAAUUCCACAGCAGGUAAGAAGGUUAUUACUACUCGAGUUGAUGGUGAUGGUGCUCCAACUGGAACAGGGUGCAAGUUUUGUUUCUCGCGUCCCCUUGUGUUGGAAACCCCUAAUUUAUCACCUAUUAGUGACCCCAAUCACCCUAAUUUCACUCAUGCCAUGUUGAAAAAUUUGAUACAGAAUAAUGAUUUCUAUUGCAAAGAAUGCAAUCCUCACUUGGAUUAGUAGGACUUCACUGUUGGAGAUUCUUUGCGUUUGGUUCCUUUGUCAACAACAUGCUGUUGAUCAUAGAUUUAGAACAUGUUAAUAUGCAUUGGAAAAUGAAAUGAUUUUAUAGAAAACAAAGAGUUGCUUCAUCAACUGGUAUGAAAGAUGUUGAUCAAAACUGGAUUCUUUUCUAUUCUGGAACAUUAGUUGUCCUCAAUCUGAGAAGUGGGUGGUGUACAUACUGAAAUUGAAAUUUUUUGAACCCUGCUAUUUUGGUAAUACCUUUCUUGUUGAUAGGAAUUUUUCAUCAUUUUACUCAUGUAUGCAACUUUUUAAUUCAUCCGGGGGGGAGGUCUUAUUUGAUUGUCAUUUAUUCAAGUUCUACAAUUGAAUUCAUGGGUUCAAUGUACACAUAUGUCCACUAGGGAAAAGUAGUGAAUGGUGACUGGAUUCAGAUGACAUUUUCAAUUUCAAUUUACACAUGUGGCAGCUUUUAUAGAGCAAGGAGAAACCCUUUUCUUUAGUUUGUGUAGCAGUCCAUGCCAUUUCCAUGUUUACUAAAGGUGUGUUUGGGAGUCUUUAGGGGAGGGGAAGACUCUGAAGGGAAGAGGAGGGGAGGAAAGAGAGGGGGAAGGGGGGUAAGCGCCCUUCCCUUGUUUGGAAGUUCCUAAUACUUCAGAAUCCCUUAAUUUGGGGGAACUAACAAAAAUAACUAAAAGAAGGUUUUGGAGGGGUCUUUGGUGGGUUUUCAGAAAUACCUCCAAACCCUCCCCCCAUUUUUUGAAAUCUCCCAAUCAAGGGGAGAACUUCUCAUAAGCCUCCCCCUUCCCUUCCCUCCCCUCCAAAACUCAACUCACAAACACACCCUAAAGAAAUUAUACGUAGGGUUUGCAACUUUAAACGCUUUGUGCUUGUGAUCUGGACCAUCUGGUGGUCUGUGCAUGAAACCUGAGUUCAAGAUACACAUAUUCCCCUAGUCAAGCAGUUGAUUUGUUCUGUUGUUAGAGGUGUGAUCUUCUAAUAGUUCCAAAAUUGAUGAUGAAAACCACAGGAGGUGCACCUUUGUCUUUGCUAGACUUGUAUCUCUGACCUCUAGCAAAGCUAAAAAUUCUUUAAAAACAACUUAUAUUUAAAUUUGGAAAAUUUUCAAAACACCACAUGCUUCCCUUUAUGAUGUCUGACUUGGUCAUUUAAGAUUUUUUCUAUUCUGUGUUCAAGUUAUUGUCUUGUAAAGAAUUUGAUAGGUUUGUAAAUUCUGUUGCCCAUGCUUUCAAAUCAGAUAGCUGCUGAUGUGUAGUGUUGUUGUUUACUUUGGUUUAGAGGACUUAUGUGUGUGCUCUUAUCUCUUCCAAAAUGGGUUACAUCCUAGAUGAGGCAGAAAACAAGAAAACCAGUAGGAAGAACAAGUGGAUGGCUUUGUAGUCCUUGCUGCUUCUGCUUCCAUUAAAAGCUUUUCUAUGCUUAUUGAACUGUUGCAGUGAGAUAGGAUGGUGACAUUAGCCUUGCAUCUGUAGCAGAACAGAUUCCGUUAAGCCUUGUAAGACUUGGUCAUUUUAUAUACAUGAUUCCAAGUGCAGUUCAGGUGAUAAUAUGCUCCUAAAGGUGUAGCCAAUCAUCGAGCAAUGUUUCACGAAGAUCAAGACUGCAGCAGGUGCCAUGCAAUCUUAUAAGUUUGCAGCAAAAGCGAUUCAAUCUGUGCCUGUUGGGAGAAUGGAUGAUACAGUGAUUUAAGAAGUUUUUGAAGUCACAGGUUAUGAGUUAUGACACAUUGAUUGCUUAUCUUCAUGAGGAUGAUCAUGGGGAAGUGAUUGCUGAGGUCACAUUAAGUUGUUUAUUUUAGCAUUGUGCUGAGUAAAGCGAUGACUGGUUUGGAAACAGAGAGGGUUGCAAGAGGGUACUGAAUUUGGAACUGCUCAAAAAAAAAAUUCUGCAUACUGGCACUCAGUGCCAACACCAACGUAGCAAAAUUCUGGAUGACUCAGAUCAUGACGGCAUCAUUGAUGGAUAUGAUAUCUGUGAAUCUUGUGCUUCUAUAUUUUUCCUUGCCAUUUGUGUCAUUGUGUGGCUGUUAAUCAUUUUCAAAUAAGAACUCCUAUUAAAUCAUACAAGUUCCUAUUUCCCAACGUCAGUUUAGCUCAAAACAAAAAAGUCUUAAAAUUCAUGCGUGAUUCUUAACCCCAAAAAUAAAACAUUCCUAAUAUUGAGUA